rnacentral:rRNA from 1 species
CAAGUCGAGCGAGAAAAGGGGAGCAAUCCUCUGAGUAAAGCGGCGCACGGGUGAGUAACACGUGGGUAAUCUGCCCUGGAGUGGGGAAUAACACCGGGAAACCGGUGCUAAUACCGCAUACGAUAGCGAGGUCUGCGGACUUUGUUAUGAAAGGAGCAAUUCGCUCUAGGAGGAGCCCGCGGCUGAUUAGCUAGUUGGUGAGGUAAUGGCUCACCAAGGCUACGAUCAGUAUCCGGUCUGAGAGGACGGUCGGACACACUGGAACUGAGACACGGUCCAGACUCCUACGGGAGGCAGCAGUGGGGAAUUUUUCGCAAUGGGGGCAACCCUGACGAAGCAACGCCGCGUGGGUGAUGAAGUCUCUUGGGACGUAAAACCCUUUCGACGGGGAAGAAACCGCAAGGUUGACGGUACCCGUAGAAGAAGCCCCGGCUAACUCCGUGCCAGCAGCCGCGGUAAUACGGGGGGGGCAAGCGUUGUUCGGAAUUACUGGGCGUAAAGGGUGCGUAGGCGGUCCGCUAAGUUGGAUGUGAAAACUCUGGGCUUAACCCAGAGCCUGCAUUCAAAACUGACGGGCUAGAGUUCUGGAGGGGGUAGCGGAAUUCCUGGUGUAGCGGUGAAAUGCGUAGAUAUCAGGAGGAACACCGGUGGCGAAGGCGGCUACCUGGACAGAAACUGACGCUGAGGCACGAAAGCUAGGGGAGCAAACAGGAUUAGAUACCCUGGUAGUCCUAGCCCUAAACGAUGGAUACUUGGUGUAGCUGGGAUUGAAUCCAGCUGUGCCGAAGCUAACGCAUUAAGUAUCCCGCCUGGGGAGUACGGUCGCAAGGCUGAAACUCAAA